UUUCUUAGCUGUAGUUUCCCCUGUGUUACGAGGUUUGAAUUGAGGGUUAUCAGCUGCUUCAAGAAGUCCCUGUUUGGCCUGAUCCAUCUCUUGUCUAUGACGUGGUCGAUGGCAUCCUCCAACAACAUUUCAUGGUGGAUCAUCAGGACCUUGUGGAUGAAUUCUGAAGCUGGGAAUAAGUCCUUGCUGAUGUCAAACCUGUGUUCAUCCGUUACAAGCACGCCGUAGUUCAGGACCAUUUGGACCUGCGACACACAACUGAUGUGCAUCAACCAGAUCUACUUCAGCUUCUGCUUCAGGAUCUGGGACACGAUGUGAAUCAACCAGAUCUACUUCAGCUUCUGCUUCAGGAUCUGGGACACACGAUGGCUCUGGA